GGAUUGUGGCUCAUUGGUAGAGCGCUUGCCUAGCAUGUGUGAGGCACUGGGUUUGAUUCUCAGCACCA
rnacentral:tRNA from 1 species